rnacentral:tRNA from 2 species
GCCCGGAUGGCGGAACGGUAGACGCAGCGGCCUUAAAAGCCGCAGUCCUUAUGGGGCGUGCGGGUUCGAAUCCCGCUCCGGGUA